CUUGCCAUGUCUGACCCCCAGGUCACGCUGAAGUGACUUUGUGCCCUGUUUGUAACUGGGCCUCUUUGAAAGCGGGCCUCGCAUUCCUGCUCCGUCGGACGGGGGAUGUCCUGCUUAUUCCCAGCGAGUAGGAAGUUUCUGCCAUUAGGGAUUAUGUGCCGUUUCCUCACCCAGAAGCUUUCGGCUUGUCCCCUCCCACUCUUGAAAAAGCAGCGACUUCAGAAACUAGAAAACGGUACAAAUUAAAUACCUGCCUCUCUGUCCACCAGCCUCAGCCUUUUAGCCCCGCUCGUCUGCGCUUGUGCGAUUGCUGGGAGGAGGCAGCCGUGUUCUGUCCGCUUUUGUGUGGUUGUACAGAAGUGCUGCGGUUGGGAGGAGGAGGAGGAGGUGGAGGGGAACAGCUGCUCCCCACACAGAAGCCGGUUUCCCAGCCUGACAGGCAGCGAGAGGCAGCCAGUGCCGGGGCUGUUUUCCCGGGGGCCCUCGGGUUGGUUCGCCAGCCUCCGCAGCUAGGAGGGGAAUUUUUAUGGCGGUGACGAAAAUACAAAAUGGACCAGAGCAAGUAGGAUUCUUUCCUUCACAAGGCCAGGCGCUCGUGUUCUCCCACAAAAAUCAGGAGUAGAUAUGGAUACGUCUCCAGUGAAACUUGACCAGAUAACAAAGUCGGCACAGGUUUGAAGGUAGACAGUGUGCGUGUGUGUGUGUGAGGCACGUGGCGGCCACUCUCAUUUCCGGGAGUGUCCACACCGUCUGGUCCCUGAGGAUGAACGAUGCUUCUUGUUUGUGGGGGGAGGAGGAGUCUUCAAGGUUAAGCUCUUGGGACCUGGGCAGAGGGCAAAAGCACUCAAUCCCCUGGCCGUGUCCUGACUGAGACGGACGUGGGACGGAUGUCUUUGAGCGAUAAGACAGAGAAACGGUGGACCAGAGAGAGGAUGCGGCACUGGCGUGUCUAAGAGAUUGAAUGUUCAAUAUGUUCACAUGCCUGAUGAUGAUGAUGGUUUCUUCUGUUUUUUAAAUAAAACUUGAUCCUGUACAUCUGCUGAGGUGUUUUCCUUUGGGAUGAGGGGUGCAGGAGAGGGUCGUCAUGCUAUUCGCUUUGUCUGGCUGUCUGGUCGCCACUGCAGUUAAUCUAUAAAUGACCUUUAUCGCAUUGGCAACACGAGGAAGGGCCGGUAUUAUCAGUUAUUCACACACUGGUUUCUUUGGGUUGCGAUAAAGAAGUAUGUGAUUGACAAUUGAUUAAUUUUUUAUUUAAAAAAAUCCUGAAUUCAGGAGUGUUUUUUGAUUUCUACAAAGAUUUUCUCUUAAAUGAAGGUAAAUCGUACAACCGUUUUUUCUAGUGAUGCCCUUCAUAGAAGAUCCCAGCACCUGCG
ensembl:lncRNA